GGAUGAACGCUGGCGGUCUGCUUAACACAUGCAAGUCGAACGGACUCUUCGGAGUUAGUGGCGGACGGGUGAGUAACGCGUGAGAAUCUGCCUCUAGAACGGGGACAACAGAGGGAAACUUCUGCUAAUCCCGGAUGAGCCGAAAGGUCAAAGAUUUAUCGUCUAGAGAUGAGCUCGCGUCUGAUUAGCUAGUUGGUAAGGUAAAAGCUUACCAAGGCGACGAUCAGUAGCUGGUCUGAGAGGAUGAUCAGCCACACUGGGACUGAGACACGGCCCAGACUCCUACGGGAGGCAGCAGUGGGGAAUUUUCCGCAAUGGGCGAAAGCCUGACGGAGCAAGACCGCGUGGGGGAGGAAAGCCUUUGGGUUGUAAACCCCUUUUCUCAGGGAAGAAGAAAGUGACGGUACCUGAGGAAUCAGCCUCGGCUAACUCCGUGCCAGCAGCCGCGGUAAUACGGAGGAGGCAAGCGUUAUCCGGAAUGAUUGGGCGUAAAGCGUUCGUAGGUGGCAAUUCAAGUCUGCUGUCAAAGACAGUAGCUCAACUACUGCAAGGCAGUGGAAACUGAAUAGCUAGAGUGCGGUAGGGGCAGAGGGAAUUCCCGGUGUAGCGGUGAAAUGCGUAGAGAUCGGGAAGAACACCGGUGGCGAAAGCGCUCUGCUGGGCCGCAACUGACACUGAGGGACGAAAGCUAGGGGAGCGAAAUGGGAUUAGAUACCCCAGUAGUCCCUAGCUGUAAACGAUGGAAACUAGGUGUUGCCCUGUAUCGACCCAGGCAGUGCCGUAGCUAACGCGUUAAGUUUCCCGCCUGGGGAGUACGCACGCAAGUGUGAAACUCAAAGGAAUUGACGGGGGCCCGCACAAGCGGUGGAGUAUGUGGUUUAAUUCGAUGCAACGCGAAGAACCUUACCAGGGCUUGACAUGUCCGGAACCCCGGUGAAAGCUGGGGGUGCCUUCGGGAGCCGGAACACAGGUGGUGCAUGGCUGUCGUCAGCUCGUGUCGUGAGAUGUUGGGUUAAGUCCCGCAACGAGCGCAACCCUCGUCUUUAGUUGCCAGCAUUAAGUUGGGCACUCUAGAGAGACUGCCGGUGACAAACCGGAGGAAGGUGGGGAUGACGUCAAGUCAGCAUGCCCCUUACGCCCUGGGCUACACACGUACUACAAUGGUCGAGACAAAGGGCAGCAACUCCGCAAGGACAAGCGAAUCUCAUCAAACUCGGCCUCAGUUCAGAUUGCCGGCUGCAACUCGCCGGCAUGAAGGAGGAAUCGCUAGUAAUCGCAGGUCAGCAUACUGCGGUGAAUCCGUUCCCG
rnacentral:rRNA from 1 species